rnacentral:rRNA from 1 species
CGAUUCUGGCUCAGGAUGAACGCUAGCGGCAGGCUAACACAUGCAAGUCGAGGGGCAGCGCGUCGUAGCAAUACGAUGGCGGCGACCGGCGCAAGGGUGCGUAACGCGUGAGCAAUCUGCCCGUAUCAGGGGGAUAAGCGAUGGAAACGUCGUCUAAUACCGCAUAACAACAACCAUGGCAUCAUGGAUGUUUGAAAGCUUCGGUGGAUACGGGUGAGCUCGCGAGACAUUAGUUAGUUGGCGGGUAACGGCCCACCAAGACCGCGAUGUCUAGGGGAACUGAGAGGUUGGUCCCCCACACUGGAACUGAGACACGGUCCAGACUCCUACGGGAGGCAGCAGUGAGGAAUAUUGGACAAUGGUCGGAAGACUGAUCCAGCCAUGCCGCGUGAAGGAUAAGGUCCUAUGGAUUGUAAACUUCUUUUGUAUGGGAGCAAUAAGGCCUACGUGUAGGUUGAUGAGAGUACCAUACGAAUAAGCACCGGCUAACUCCGUGCCAGCCGCCGC